AAACACCGUAGUUUUGCACCGUUUAUGUCUAACAUUUAGUCAUCCGUCUUAUUUGAAAGAUUUCUAUGAUUAGUAUUUUUUUUAUUUAGAUGAUAAAACAUGAAUAAUGCUUUAUGUAUGACUUUUUUUUAAAAAAAAAUUAAAUAAGGCUGACGGUGAAUAUUGAACACGGAAAUCCAUAACUGUAUUUAAA
rnacentral:pre_miRNA from 1 species